AGAUCUUUACCAUGUUGUGCUUCUUGCAGUGUGCCUGAAAUUCCUCGUUGGCAAUUUCACACUGCAGAUCUCCCAGAGCCCUGCCACCCAGCAGCGGAGUAAUGAUGCUGGGGGGUCACCAGCUGCUAGAGCCUGUCACCUGGCUGAACUUGCUGCUCUCACACCCUCCUUACCUUACAACUCAGGUGUGGAUUGACAGACUAUAAGAUCAGUAGAGCAAAGCAAGAUCCAGAUAAAUGUGUGGGGUAGAUGAAAACAAAACUACAAUUGAGGAACCCCUGAAAGGAAGGAGACCACUGGGUGGGCAGCAUCCAAAAGUCCCAGAAGUGGUCUGUCAUGGGGCUGAGCCAUGUGAGGGAGCAACUGAUUCUGACCCAUCCAAGUCCAAACCACCAUUGUUCUAACCUGAAAAGACAGCGCCAACACAUUUAUCUGCGUUUAGCUGAAAGAUUUACGGCAAGUGUGGAGUGAAGAAAACACCUUUCUACAUAAAUUUCAUCUGUUUGAGUACUUCUUAUCUACAUCAAACAAAAGCAGUUGAUUCAUUUGUUGGAAUGCUGAAAGGUUGAAUGAGUCACCACAGGCAAAAUAUAUGUAAAUGAUGCUUUUUUUGUAUAAACAGUUUAUCUACUUAAGAUA